rnacentral:rRNA from 1 species
CUACGGGUUGCUGCAGUGGGGAAUAUUGGACAAUGGGGGAAACCCUGAUCCAGCAAUGCCGCGUGUGUGAAGAAGGCCUGCGGGUUGUAAAGCACUUUCGGUUGGGAGGACUGCUUCUAGCACUAAUAUUGUUGGAAGUUGACGUUACCUUCAGAAGAAGCACCGGCUAACUCCGUGCCAGCAGCCGCGGUAAUACGGGAGGGUGCAAGCGUUAAUCGGAAUUACUGGGCGUAAAGCGCGCGUAGGCGGCUAGAUCAGUCGGGUGUGAAAGCCCCGGGCUUAACCUGGGAACUGCAUCCGAUACUGUCUAGCUUGAGUACAGGAGAGGAGAGUGGAAUUCCACAUGUAGCGGUGAAAUGCGUAGAUAUGUGGAGGAACACCAAUGGCGAAGGCAGCUCUCUGGCCUGAUACUGACGCUGAGGUGCGAAAGCGUGGGGAGCAAACAGGAUUGGAUACCCGGGUAGUC